GCAGUUGAAUAUGGUAGAAGUGGGAAUUGAAGCCAGGUGUGCCUCACUCCAAAGGUUACACCCCUGCUGCCCUGACAAGUAACAAUGGGCCUCUUCCAGUGAAAUGCUUCCGUGGUUGCCUGCUGCUCUUGGUUUUGGUGUCAUCUUGUUUUACGACUUCCCUGCACAUCCUGAUUUGAGGACAAGAACGAACGAGAAGAUUUAAAGUGAAAAAGGACAUUGAGUUGAUUUGAAUGAGAAAUAUAUCUGCAAGGAGAUAGAGCCUUGCUUUGUUCUCUAGGCUGGAGCAUGCUGGCGUGAUCACGGCUCACUGCAGACUCAAGCAACCCUCCAACCUCAGUCUUCUGAGUAGUUGGGACCACAGGGAAAGAGACCUGCAGUUAAAUUUGAAAUGAUGGACAACUUGACCCCAAAAAGACCUUGCUGUAAUUUGAAUUCCUGUUGGCUGUCUGAAAGCAUUCUGCUGGUGCUCCCUGUUGAUUGAAGUCAACCAGAAUCCAGAGAGGAAAUUCUCUGAAGUUUGAAUCAAAGAUCAUACAUCGUGAUACAACUCCACUACUUAGUCGACUCAUCAUUCUGGCUACCAUUUUGUGUGUGUGUGUGUGUGUGUGUGUGUGUGUGUGUGUGUGUGUGUGUGUUUCCCCUUCAA
rnacentral:lncRNA from 1 species